rnacentral:rRNA from 1 species
CCUACGGGAGGCAGCAGUAGGGAAUUUUCGGCAAUGGGGGGAACCCUGACCGAGCAACGCCGCGUGAACGAAGAAGUUAUUCGUAAUGUAAAGUUCUUUUAACAGGGAAGAAAGAGAAAUUUGAUGGUACCUGAAGAAUAAGCCCCGGCUAACUAGUUACCAGCAGCCGCGGUAAUACGUAGUGAGAGUGCGUUAUACGGAAUUAUUGGGGGAAAAGGGUGGUUAGAUGGCAUAGUAAGGCUUUUGGAAAAAUGCUGUGUUAAACCCAGUAGGGCAAAAGAUACUGGAAAGCUAGAGUAUGACAGAGGCAAGUGGAACUACAUGUGUAGCGGUAAAAUGCGGAAAUAUAAGUAAGAACACCAGUGGCGAAGGCGGCUUGCUGGGUCGAUACUGACAUUGAGGCACGAAAGCGUGGGGAGCAAACAGGAUUAGAUACCCGAGUAGUC